rnacentral:rRNA from 1 species
AGAAUUUGAUCCUGGCUCAGGAUGAACGUUGGCGGCGUGCCUAACACAUGCAAGUCGAACGGCUUAUCAGUAGCAGAAUGGUUUUCGGAUCAGGCUGCAACGGAUGGGCAGUGGCAGACGGGUGAGUAACGCGUAGGUGACCUGCCCCAAAGUGGGGAAUAACUGCUCGAAAGGGCAGCUAAUACCGCAUACGAUCGGGUAUUCGAUUAUCCGAUGAAAGGCCUUGGUCGCUUUGGGAGGGGCCUACGUCCGAUUAGCUAGUUGGUGAGGUAAAGGCUCACCAAGGCGACGAUCGGUAGCUGGUCUGAGAGGAUGGUCAGCCACACUGGCACUGAGAUACGGGCCAGACUCCUACGGGAGGCAGCAGUGAGGAAUAUUGCCCAAUGGGCGAAAGCCUGAGGCAGCGACGCCGCGUGGACGAUGAAGGCCUUCGGGUUGUAAAGUCCUUUUCUGAGGGAAGAGAAAUAGGACGGUACCUCAGGAAUAAGCCUCGGCUAACUACGUGCCAGCAGCCGCGGUAAUACGUAGGAGGCAAACGUUAUCCGGAUUUACUGGGCGUAAAGCGCGCGCAGGUGGUGUUGUAAGUUGGGCGUGAAAUCUCUCGGCUUAACCGGGAUUGGUCGUUCAAUACUGCAGCACUCGAGGACAGGAGAGGGAAGCGGAAUUCCCGGUGGAGUAGUGAAAUGCGUAGAUAUCGGGAGGAACACCAGUGGCGAAGGCGGCUUCCUGGACUGUUCCUGACACUGAGGCGCGAAAGCCAGGGGAGCGAACCGAAUUAGAUACUCGGGUAGUCCUGGCCCUAAACGGUGCGGACUAGGUGUUGGGGGUAUCGACCCCCCCAGUGCCGAAGCUAACGCGCUAAGUCCGCCGCCUGGGAACUACGGCCGCAAGGCUAAAACUCAAAGGAAUUGACGGGGCCCCGCACAAGCAGCGGAGCGUGUGGUUUAAUUCGAUCAACACGAAGAACCUUACCUGGGCUUGACAUGCACACGACAGCGGCGGAAACGUCGCCUUCCGUGAGGACGGAUGCACAGAUGCUGCAUGGCUGUCGUCAGCUCGUGCCGUGAGGUGUUGGGUUAAGUCCCGCAACGAGCGCAACCCUCGUCGUUAGUUAAAUAUCUCUAGCGAGACUGCCGAGAGAAACUCGGAGGAAGGUGGGGAUGACGUCAAGUCAGCAUGGCUCUUACGUCCAGGGCUACACACACGCUACAAUGGCCGGUACAGAGGGUUGCCAACCCGCGAGGGGGAGCUAAUCCCAAAAAACCGGCCCCAGUUCAGAUUGCAGGCUGCAACUCGCCUGCAUGAAGUCGGAGUUGCUAGUAACCGCAGAUCAGCAUGCUGCGGUGAAUACGUUCCCGGGGCUUGUACA